GACGAAGGAUGCAAGCGUUAUCCGGAUUCAUUGGGCUUAAAGGGAGCGUAGGCGGCCUUGUAAGUCAGUGGUGAAAUCUCGCAGCUUAACUGCGAAACUGCCAUUGAUACUGCAGGGCUUGAGUACAGAUGCUGUGGGCGGAAUAUGACAUGUAGUGGUGAAAUACAUAGAGAUGUCAUAGAACACCGAUUGCGAAGGCAGCUCACAAAACUGUAACUGACGCUGAGGCUCGAAAGUGUGGGGAUCAAACAGG
rnacentral:rRNA from 1 species